rnacentral:rRNA from 1 species
UAUGGCGACCGGCGCACGGGUGAGUAACACGUAUCCAACCUGCCGAUGACUCGGGGAUAGCCUUUCGAAAGAAAGAUUAAUACCCGAUGGCAUAGUUCUUCCGCAUGGUAGAACUAUUAAAGAAUUUCGGUCAUCGAUGGGGAUGCGUUCCAUUAGGCAGUUGGUGGGGUAACGGCCCACCAAACCUUCGAUGGAUAGGGGUUCUGAGAGGAAGGUCCCCCACAUUGGAACUGAGACACGGUCCAA